ensembl:lncRNA
GGCGGGAAGAGGGAAGAUUUGUUGACCAUCAGGUGUCCUGAAUUGUCUUAAGCAGAGGAGGCCUGUGAGAAAAAGAAGCAAGAGACAAGGAAGUGGGAGCCAGGGCCCCGUCCAAGGGGGCUGGACCCUAAUUCAAAGACAGUGGGACCAUGGCUUCUGUGUCCAGUGCGGGGGUGUAGGGGCUGUGCUUCCAAAGGACACAGCCCAGACUGAAGGGGAUGGUCAGAGACGGGUCAUAGAAUCCAUCCUCUCACAACGCAGCAGAUGCCUGGCCCACUGCCAAGGUCGUGGGAAAGGGAGCGACCAGAGAUGGGGUGGGGGGCGCAGAGAGCUCCAGCAGAGAGGCGAACGAGAGCAGGGGCAGCGAGGGCUGUGGGAGAUGGAAAUCCACCUUCUCCAUGAGGGGGUGGGAUGGUGCUUAUACAGGACACCACCCGUAAAACAAAAAAGAGAAAAAGAAAAGGUGGGAUGAUAAAGUCCUUCUGGUCAUUUUACAAAAAAGUCCUGCAGGAGAGGAAAACCCUGUAGGAAAGGAGACUGGGGGUUGGGGGCUGGGGUUUGAGGUGGGCUGCAGGGCAGGAGGAGAGGAGGGGUUGGAGGUCGAGGGGAGGGGCGUGGGUGAGGGGGAGCAGGCGGGCCUCCGAGGAAAGCCUCCAGAGUCUGCCCCUUGGCCUGGGGGGACUGGUGACUAAAGCGGUCUCAAUGAGGGGCAGUACGUGGUGAGGAACAAAGUCCGGGGGGAUGUUAGGAGCUCAACUGCACUGAAUCAGAUCCUCUUGAAUGUAGCACAGUCGGCGGCAUCAGAUGAGAUAGUGAAAAGAGAAUUCCAUUCAGGUGGUUCACCUGCAGAGACUUGAAAGAGGGUGUGGGCAGAACUAAAGAGACUAACCCCCAGAGACCAGCAACAGCCGAAGCCACCCACCCCGGGCCUGAGCAGAGGGCAGUGAAGGUGGGACUGCGGCCCCAGAGAGGGCGGUCACACGGUCAUCAAUGUAGGGCCAGCACGGGGAUGGACAGAGAAGAAACACCCCAACUUCUCCCCCACUGCGGGCUCCUGGGUAGUGCUCACUGACUGAUCACAACAGAGAGUGGGGCGCGAGGCAGCCCAGGUGAUGUGAUUGUUCGGGACCACAGCCCUCCCAGGUGCCAAGCAAGGCAGGGAAGGGAUUUGAGGGCAGAGCAAAUGGAGAUGAACUGACACACACAGCUUGCAAGCAGCUUUCCCCCGAAUCCAUCAGAACACGAUGAUGUCGCUGGUGUGUGAUCCACACUGCUCUUCUCUCUGUGCGGGGGCAAUCAAGAGUAGAAGGAAGAGUUUCUCAGGACAUUGAAGUCAUUCUGCUUGUCAUCACCAAAAAUGUGCCAGUGCUGCUGUUUGCAUGAUGUCAUUCAAACAUGAUCUCAUUUGGAUCUCACACGACCCUGGGAGAGUUGGCAGAAUUAAUAAGAUUUAAAACCUACUUAGAGAGGAACCCAACAUACAUGGAACAGCCUUCAGGAGAGGACUAAGUUUCCAAAUCAGAAUAUUAUGAAAUAGUACUAACAGAAUGCUUUUAAUUUUUAAAAUCUGUAUAUUUUUAGUUAUGAUUAGGGAAAAAUGUCUGGAGUGUUGUAAUACUGGUAAGCUUUAUUUUCUUCUCUGUAAUUUUCUAUAUUUCCAAGUUUUCUACAGUGAAUAGAAAAUACUGUAGAAAUCAAGAGAAGGCCUCUCAUUUUGUUGAGUUCAAAUUAGAUAUUUUACAGAAGAACAGAACUUGGAAAUCUCGUCUUCUUAAAAAGUUGUGAUUCUAGACCUAUAUCAUCUGAUAUUGGCUGUUGAAUACCUGAAAUUCGCUUAGUCCAAGUUUCCAUAUGACGUGAAUAUAAAUUACACUUCAUAUUUUGAAGACAGUACAAACAACCAAAAAUGAUGUCUCAAUAAUUUUUAUAUUGAUUACAUGUUGAAAUGAUAGUAUUGAAUAUUUUGGAUAUAUUGAGUUUAGCAAAAUACGGUAUUGGGUCAAAUAAAAUUAAUUUCACUGGUUUCUUUUACUUUUUAAAAUACGAUCACUUUAAACAUUUUAAAACGAGUGGCUUGCAUUUGCUGCCCA